UACAGAGGAGCCAAGCGUUGUCCGGAUUGACUGGGCGUAAAGCGCACGCAGGCGGUUCUGCGCGUGGGGUGUGAAAUCUGGCCGCUUAACGGCCAGGCGCCAUCCCAUACGGCAGGACUGGAGUGAUGCAGAGGUCGAUGGAAUUGCCGGUGUAGUGGUGAAAUGCGUAGAGAUCGGCAGGAACACCCAGGGGGAAACCAGUCGACUGGGCAUCUACUGACGCUGAGGUGCGAGAGCGUGGGGAGCGAACCGG
rnacentral:rRNA from 1 species